GAACGAGUUAUCUGACCUUCGGGGAACGAUAACGGCGUCGAGCGGCGGACGGGUGAGUAAUGCCUGGGAAAUUGCCCUGAUGUGGGGGAUAACCAUUGGAAACGAUGGCUAAUACCGCAUAAUAGCUUCGGCUCAAAGAGGGGGACCUUCGGGCCUCUCGCGUCAGGAUAUGCCCAGGUGGGAUUAGCUAGUUGGUGAGGUAAGGGCUCACCAAGGCGACGAUCCCUAGCUGGUCUGAGAGGAUGAUCAGCCACACUGGAACUGAGACACGGUCCAGACUCCUACGGGAGGCAGCAGUGGGGAAUAUUGCACAAUGGGCGCAAGCCUGAUGCAGCCAUGCCGCGUGUAUGAAGAAGGCCUUCGGGUUGUAAAGUACUUUCAGCAGUGAGGAAGGUGCAUGCGUUAAUAGCGUAUUCAUUUGACGUUAGCUGCAGAAGAAGCACCGGCUAACUCCGUGCCAGCAGCCGCGGUAAUACGGAGGGUGCGAGCGUUAAUCGGAAUUACUGGGCGUAAAGCGCAUGCAGGUGGUUUGUUAUGUCAGAUGUGAAAGCCCGGGGCUCAACCUCGGGAAUAGCAUUUGAAACUGGCAGACUAGAGUACUGUAGAGGGGGGGUAGAAUUUCAGGUGUAGCGGUGAAAUGCGUAGAAGAUCUGAAGGGAUUACCGGUGGGCGAAGGGCGGCCCCCCUUGGACAGAUUACUGGACACUCAAAUGUCGAGAGCGGUGGGGGGAGCAAAACAGGGAAUUAAAAUACCCCUUGGGAACUCCCCCGCCAUAAAAACGAUGUUCCUAACUCUGGAGAAAGUUUGGUGGCCCCUUUGCAGCCCGGGAUCUUUUU
rnacentral:rRNA from 1 species